UGAGGAAUAUUGGUCAAUGGACGCAAGUCUGAACCAGCCAAGUAGCGUGCAGGAUGACAUCCCUAUGGGUUGUAAACUGCUUUUAUAUGGGGAUAAAGUGUGGAACGUGUUCCCUUUUGCAGGUACCAUAUGAAUAAGGACCGGCUAAUUCCGUGCCAGCAGCCGCGGUAAUACGGAAGGUUCGGGCGUUAUCCGGGUUUAUUGGGUUUAAAGGGAGCGUAGGCCGUUUGGUAAGCGUGUUGUGAAAUGUAGGAGCUCAACUUCUAGAUUGCAGCGCGAACUGUCAGACUUGAGUGCGCACAACGUAGGCGGAAUUCAUGGUGUAGCGGUGAAAUGCUUAGAUAUCAUGAAGAACUCCGAUUGCGAAGGCAGCUUACGGAAGCGCAACUGACGCUGAAGCUCGAAGGUGCGGGUAUCGAACAGG
rnacentral:rRNA from 1 species